rnacentral:rRNA from 1 species
UGCGUAGGCGGCUUUUUAAGUCAGUGGUGAAAUCUUGCCGCUUAACGGUAAAUUGCCAUUGAUACUGAAGAGCUUGAGUCCAGUUGAGGUAAGCGGAAUGUGUAGUGUAGCGGUGAAAUGCUUAGAUAUUACACAGAACACCAAUUGCGAAGGCAGCUUACUAAACUGUCACUGACGCUGAUGCACGAAAGCGUGGGAGCGAACAGGAUUAGAUACCCUGGUAGUCCACGCCGUAAACGAUGCUCACUCGCUGUUUGCGAUACACAGCAAGCGGCCAAGCGAAAGCAUUAAGUGAGCCACCUGGGGAGUACGAUCGCAAGGUUGAA